UACGUAGGGUGCGAGCGUUGUCCGGAAUUAUUGGGCGUAAAGGGCUCGUAGGCGGUUUGUCGCGUCGGGAGUGAAAACACCGGGCUUAACUCGGUGCUUGCUUUCGAUACGGGCAGACUAGAGGUAUGCAGGGGAGAACGGAAUUCCUGGUGUAGCGGUGAAAUGCGCAGAUAUCAGGAGGAACACCGGUGGCGAAAGCGGUUCUCUGGGCAUUACCUGACGCUGAGGAGCGAAAGUGUGGGGAGCGAACAGG
rnacentral:rRNA from 1 species